rnacentral:rRNA from 1 species
UACGUAGGGUGCAAGCGUUGUCCGGAAUUAUUGGGCGUAAAGAGCUCAUAGGCGGUUUGUCGCGUCUGCUGUGAAAACUCGGGGCUUAACCCCGGGCCUGCAGUGGGUACGGGCAGACUAGAGUCUGGUAGGGGAACACGGAAUUCCUGGUGUAGCGGUGAAAUGCUUAGAUAUCAGGAGGAACACCAGUGGCGAAGGCGGUGUUCUGGGCCAGUACUGACGCUGAGGCGCGAAAGCGUGGGGAGCGAACAGG